GACGAACGCUGGCGGCGUGCUUAACACAUGCAAGUCGAACGAUGAUCCGGAGCUUGCUCCGGGGAUUAGUGGCGAACGGGUGAGUAACACGUGAGUAACCUGCCCUUGACUCUGGGAUAAGCGUUGGAAACGACGUCUAAUACCGGAUAUGACCUUUGCCGGCAUCGGCUGGAGGUGGAAAGAUUUUUUGGUCAAGGAUGGACUCGCGGCCUAUCAGGUAGUUGGUGAGGUAAUGGCUCACCAAGCCGACGACGGGUAGCCGGCCUGAGAGGGUGACCGGCCACACUGGGACUGAGACACGGCCCAGACUCCUACGGGAGGCAGCAGUGGGGAAUAUUGCACAAUGGGCGAAAGCCUGAUGCAGCAACGCCGCGUGAGGGAUGACGGCCUUCGGGUUGUAAACCUCUUUCAGCGCAGACGAAGCGAAAGUGACGGUACGCGCAGAAGAAGGACCGGCCAACUACGUGCCAGCAGCCGCAGUAACAC
rnacentral:rRNA from 1 species